AAAAAUGCAACGUGGGAAGUUUCAGGAAAGUAUACAUGUCAGGCAAAGAACAAUGUGACCAACUUAUCAGUCUCCAAGAGCAUCACAGUUAAGGUGGUUGAACAAUAUACGGGAGGAAGGAAUGGUUCUUCAUUCUCUGAAGAGGCCAUCACUGGCAUUGUGAUUGGAGUCCUGACUGCAAUAACUCUCAUUGGGACCCUCAUCUAUAUCCAGUACUUCAGACAGACUAGAAGGGCCAGCAAAGACCAACUUUCAGAGAAGAACCAUUCAGCACCACAACAUGGUGAGGACAUCGCCAUGUAUGAAAACAUUGUUCACUUUAGAGGCUCAACUCUGCCUAAACAGAGCCCGGGCUCCUCCUCUACUUUUCCUGAAGACCCUGAGAGUUCUUACCAGACAUUGGACAUCACCAGAGUGGUUGUUUAUGACAAGAUUGACCCCUUGAAGAAACCUGAAGCCUAGCAAGAAACCUAGGGAUGUUGGGACACCCUUCCAUCACCAUUCAUGAAGAAGAGUUCAGAGGCAUCUCUCAGGAAAAAAAGCAGACACAUUGAAGUCCAUGAGAAAGACAGAAAGGCUGGACUUGUGGAAAGGGGAGGUUUCUAGGGAGGCAGGGGCCCUCAGAUGUCCCAGAAAGGAUCAAGAGCAAUGAAACAAGCCAGACCUAUGUGCCUGGGCUGUCAAAAAGCAAGGCAGCCUGUAGGAUGAGUUUGGGAUCCUAUAGGGACCAUUGUUCACCAAGUGCUCCAAUAUUUUGAACAUCACCAUAUUUUCCUGUCUUCUUUAUCCCUUUUAUUCACAUAAAUAUCUUUUUGGAAACUUUCAUGCA